rnacentral:sRNA from 1 species
ACAUUUGCAUCCUAAUUUGGCGUUUUUUGGUUUUUUUUU